rnacentral:rRNA from 1 species
CACCGCCCGUCGCUCUUACCGAUUGAAUGAUCCGGUGAGAUGUUCGGAUUGCGGCGAAGUGGGCGAUUUGCUGCCAGUAACUUCACGAGAAGUCCAUUGAACCUUAUCAUUUAGAGGAAGGACAAGUCGUAACAAGGUUUCCGUAGGUGAACCUGCAGAAG